rnacentral:ncRNA from 2 species
CUCUUAUCCCGAGCUGGUGGAGGGACAGGCCCUAUGAAACCCAGCAACCUGCUAAAAGGCAUUUAUCAGCAAAGGUGCUAACCUGACGCAAGGACGUAAUUCCUUGAACGAUAAGAG